AUUGAACGCUGGCGGCAGGCCUAACACAUGCAAGUCGAGCGAGUGGCGGACGGGUGAGUAAUGUCUGGGAAACUGCCCGAUGGAGGGGGAUAACUACUGGAAACGGUAGCUAAUACCGCAUACCAUCUGAUGUGCCCAGAUGGGAUUAGCUUGUAGGUGGGGUAACGGCUCACCUAGGCGACGAUCCCUAGCUGGUUGGAGAGGAUGACCAGCCACCCUGUAACUGAGACACGGUCCAGACUCCUACGGGAGGCAGCAGUGGGGAAUAUGGCACAAUGGGCGAAAGCCUGAUGCAGCCAGGCCGCGUGUGUGAAGAAGGCGUUCGGGUUGUAAAGUACUUUCAGCGGGGAGGCGUUACCCGCAGAAGAAGCACCGGCUAACUCCGUGCCAGCAGCCGCGGUAAUAC
rnacentral:rRNA from 1 species